rnacentral:rRNA from 1 species
UGGGGAAUAUUGCACAAUGGGCGCAAGCCUGAUGCAGCCAUGCCGCGUGUGUGAAGAAGGCCUUCGGGUUGUAAAGCACUUUCAGCGAGGAGGAAGGUGGUGAGCUUAAUACGCUCAUCAAUUGACGUUACUCGCAGAAGAAGCACCGGCUAACUCCGUGCCAGCAGCCGCGGUAAUACGGAGGGUGCAAGCGUUAAUCGGAAUUACUGGGCGUAAAGCGCACGCAGGCGGUUUGUUAAGUCAGAUGUAAAAAUCCCCGGGCUCAACCUGGGAACUGCAUUUGAAACUGGCAAGCUAGAGUCUCGUAGAGGGGGGUAGAAUUCCAGGUGUAGCGGUGAAAUGCGUAGAGAUCUGGAGGAAUACCGGUGGCGAAGGCGGCCCCCUGGACGAAGACUGACGCUCAGGUGCGAAAGCGUGGGGCAGCAAACAGGAUUAGAUACCCUGGUAGUCCACGCUGUAAAACGAUGUCGAUUUGGAGGUUGUGCCCUUGAGGCGUGGCUUCCGGAGCUAACGCGUUAAAUCGACCGCCUGGGGAGUACGGCCGCAAGGUUAAAACU